GGAUAAAGGUAAUUGUCUGUUUUAAUCACUACUACUAUGUUAAUUGCUAUAAUAUUCUCGAGUUUGCGAGUUUGGGAUCACUAUAGGCUGAAUACACGUUGCAUAAAGACGCAUACGUAUGGGAAUGUACUUUGUUCAUGAUGUAGAUUUCACAUGUAGUUGGUGUGAUAUGGAGAUGGUCGUAGCUCCUGAGCAAUUAUUUUCUGCUUUACGAUUGCUUAGUAGCUGUAAGACUGUGGUGUUGAUAGGUUUUUCCUCAUUGCUAUCCUUGUAAUUGUGUCCUUGAUGUGUGAAUUGUGAAGGUUUCUGGAUUUUCAUCAUUGCGAAGAAAUCUUCUACGUCUGUCACCAAGGCUGGCCAAUCUCCCUGAAGAGGUGAAGAAGAAACUCGAAGAUCCUGUUAGUAGGUAUAAUUUUGGAUGGAGUCAUGGAAAGGAAAAGCUGGAAUCUGGAAAGCCAGAUAUGCUAAAAGGCUCUUUCUAUGCAGACCCGAUAUUAGAUACACCAACAACAGAUGAGGCUCUAAUUCAAAGGUACCCAUCAUAUUGUGGAUCAGCCUAAACAUGAGUUGCCAGAACUUGAAGUGGCCUUCAAAGCUAUGGGAAAGUUGAUCCUUGAAGUUGGACUUAUGGUGGCAUUUCACUGUGAAAGAUAUGGUAAAGUCUCAUUUGUUAUAGUUUUAAUACAGUUGAUCAGAACUGUAUUGUUUUCAGGUCCCAUUUUAUUCUCCAUUGCCAGCUUUUUUCUGCAUAGACAUUA